AAUGAACGCUGGCGGCGUGCCUAAUACAUGCAAGUAGAACGCUGAAGGAAGGAGCUUGCUCUUUCCGGAUGAGUUGCGAACGGGUGAGUAACGCGUAGGUAACCUGCCAGGUAGCGGGGGAUAACUAUUGGAAACGAUAUCUAAUACCACAUCACAGUAGAUGUUGCAUGAUGUCUACUAACAACGUACAAUUGCCCCACUACCAGAUGGACCUGCGUUGUAUUAGCUAGUUGGUGAGGUAACGGCUCACCAAGGCGACGAUACAUAGCCGACCUGAGAGGGUGAUCGGCCACACUGGGACUUGGACACCGCCCAGACUUCUACGGGAGGCAGCAGUAGGGAAUCUUCGGCCAAUGACGGCAGGCUGACCGAGCAACGCCGCGUGAGUGAAGAAGGUUUUCGGAUCGGAAAGCUCUGUUGUAAGAGAAGAACGAGUGUGAGAGUGGAAAGUUCACACUGUGACGGUAUCUUACCAGAAAGAGACGGCUAACUACGUG
rnacentral:rRNA from 1 species